ACGGAGGGAGCUAGCGUUGUUCGGAAUUACUGGGCGUAAAGCGCACGUAGGCGGCUACUCAAGUCAGAGGUGAAAUCCCGGGGCUCAACCCCGGAACUGCCGUUGAAACUAGGUGGCUUGAAUACUGGAGAGGUAAGUGGAAUUCCGGGUGUAGCGGUGAAAUGCGCAGAUAUCAGGAAGAACACCAGUGGCGAAGGCGACUGACUGGGCAAGUACUGACGCUGAGGUGCGAAAGCGUGGGGAGCAAACAG
rnacentral:rRNA from 1 species